CCUACGGGGGGCUGCAGUGGGGAAUAUUGGACAAUGGGGGGAACCCUGAUCCAGCCAUGCCGCGUGUGUGAAGAAGGCCCUCGGGUUGUAAAGCACUUUCAGUGAGGAAGAACGCCUGGUGGUUAAUACCCAUCAGGAAAGACAUCACUCACAGAAGAAGCACCGGCUAACUCCGUGCCAGCAGCCGCGGUAAUACGGAGGGUGCGAGCGUUAAUCGGAAUUACUGGGCGUAAAGCGCGCGUAGGUGGCUUGAUAAGCCGGUUGUGAAAGCCCCGGGCUCAACCUGGGAACGGCAUCCGGAACUGUCAAGCUAGAGUGCAGGAGAGGAAGGUAGAAUUCCCGGUGUAGCGGUGAAAUGCGUAGAGAUCGGGAGGAAUACCAGUGGCGAAGGCGGCCUUCUGGACUGAAACUGACACUGAGGUGCGAAAGCGUGGGUAGCAAACAGGAUUAGAUACCCUGGUAGUC
rnacentral:rRNA from 1 species